GAUGCGGCAGUGCCGGGCCGCGGGGCUGGCGGGGCUGGCCGCGGUGCUCCUGGUGGCUGUGAGCAGAGCUCAGGUGCAGCAGGAGCCGGCGGCAGAGACCAGCGAGGGCAUCGGCAUCAACAUCACCUGCUCACACCCCAACGUACAGUCCAACGAGGUUAUCUACUUGUACCGUCAGCUUCCGGGCCGAGGACCCACAUUCCUCGUGAACGCUUUUAAAGGCUACAAAGAGGUGCCGGACCCGGAGGGGCGUCUGUGGGUAUCGGCAGACCGCCGCUCCAGCUCUUAUGAUUACAUCCACUGGUACCGUCAGCUUCCGGGCCGAGGACCCACAUUCCUCGUCAGCGCCGUCAAAGGCUCCGAGGACGUGCCGAACCCGGAGGGGCAGGUGUUUGUGUCGGCAGACCGCCGCUCCAGCGCCCUGUGA